rnacentral:rRNA from 1 species
GUAGGGAAUCUUCCGCAAUGGGCGAAAGCCUGACGGAGCAAUGCCGCGUGAGUGAAGAAGGCCUUCGGGUCGUAAAACUCUGUUAUAAGAGAAGAACAAAUUGUAGAGUAACUGCUACAGUCUUGACGGUAUCUUAUCAGAAAGCCACGGCUAACUACGUGCCAGCAGCCGCGGUAAUACGUAGGUGGCAAGCGUUGUCCGGAUUUAUUGGGCGUAAAGGGAGCGCAGGUGGUUUCUUAAGUCUGAUGUGAAAGCCCACGGCUUAACCGUGGAGGGUCAUUGGAAACUGGGAAACUUGAGUACAGAAGAGGAAUGUGGAACUCCAUGUGUAGCGGUGGAAUGCGUAGAUAUAUGGAAGAACACCAGUGGCGAAGGCGACAUUCUGGUCUGUUACUGACACUGAGGCUCGAAAGCGUGGGGAGCAAACAGGAUUAGAAACCCUAGUAGUCC